CGGGUCCCUUCGGGGGCCAGUGGCAGACGGCUGAGUAACGCGUGGGUGACCGACCUCGAAGUGGGGAAUAACUGCCCGAAAGGGUGGCUAAUACCGCGUGAGCUCUGGUCUUCGGUGACCAGAGGAUAGAUCUUUGGAUCGCUUCGUGAGGGGCCCGCGUCCGAUUAGCUUGUUGGCGAGGUAACGGCUCACCAAGGCAGUGAUCGGUAGCUGGUCUGAGAGGAUGAUCAGCCAGACUGGGACUGAGAGACGGCCCAGACUCCUACGGGAGGCAGCAGUUAGGAAUUUUGGGCAAUGGGCGAAAGCCUGACCCAGCAACGCCGCGUGGGUGACGAAGGCCUUCGGGUUGUAAAGCCCUUUUCUGAGGGAAGAUGAUGACGGUACCUCAGGAAGAAGCACCGGCUAACUACGUGCCAGCAGCCGCGGUAAUACGUAGGGUGCGAGCGUUGCCCGGAUUUAUUGGGCGUAAAGGGCGCGCAGGCGGCCCGGCGCGUCCGCGGUGAAAGCUCCCGGCUCAACUGGGAGAGGUCCGCGGAAACGGUCGGGCUGGAGCAAGGUAGGGGGUCGUGGAAUUCCCGGUGUAGUGGUGGAAUGCGUAGAGAUCGGGAGGAACACCAGUGGCGAAGGCGGCGACCUGGACCUGUGCUGACGCUGAGGCGCGAAAGCGUGGGGAGCGAUCCGGAUUAGAUACCCGGGUAGUCCACGCCGUAAACGAUGCACACUAGGUGUCGGGGGUAUCGACCCCCUCGGCGCCGCAGCUAACGCAUUAAGUGUGCCGCCUGGGGACUACGGCCGCAAGGCUAAAACUCAAAGGAAUUGACGGGGGCCCGCACAAGCAGCGGAGCGUGUGGUUUAAUUCGAUGCAACGCGCAGAACCUUACCUAGGCUUGACAUGCACGUGGUA
rnacentral:rRNA from 1 species